rnacentral:rRNA from 1 species
GCGUUACGGCGGCUAAACAUGCAGUCGAACGGUAACAGGAAGCAGCUUGCUUCUUUGCUGACGAGUGGCGGACGGGUGAGUAAUGUCUGGGAAACUGCCUGAUGGAGGGGGAUAACUACUGGAAACGGUAGCUAAUACCGCAUAACGUCGCAAGACCAAAGAGGGGGACCUUCGGGCCUCUUGCCAUCGGAUGUGCCCAGAUGGGAUUAGCUAGUAGGUGGGGUAACGGCUCACCUAGGCGACGAUCCCUAGCUGGUCUGAGAGGAUGACCAGCCACACUGGAACUGAGACACGGUCCAGACUCCUACGGGAGGCAGCAGUGGGGAAUAUUGCACAAUGGGCGCAAGCCUGAUGCAGCCAUGCCGCGUGUAUGAAGAAGGCCUUCGGGUUGUAAAGUACUUUCAGCGGGGAGGAAGGGAGUAAAGUUAAUACCUUUGCUCAUUGACGUUACCCGCAGAAGAAGCACCGGCUAACUCCGUGCCAGCAGCCGCGGUAAUACGGAGGGUGCAAGCGUUAAUCGGAAUUACUGGGCGUAAAGCGCACGCAGGCGGUUUGUUAAGUCAGAUGUGAAAUCCCCGGGCUCAACCUGGGAACUGCAUCUGAUACUGGCAAGCUUGAGUCUCGUAGAGGGGGGUAGAAUUCCAGGUGUAGCGGUGAAAUGCGUAGAGAUCUGGAGGAAUACCGGUGGCGAAGGCGGCCCCCUGGACGAAGACUGACGCUCAGGUGCGAAAGCGUGGGGAGCAAACAGGAUUAGAUACCCUGGUAGUCCACGCCGUAAACGAUGUCGACUUGGAGGUUGUGCCCUUGAGGCGUGGCUUCCGGAGCUAACGCGUUAAGUCGACCGCCUGGGGAGUACGGCCGCAAGGUUAAAACUCAAAUGAAUUGACGGGGGCCCGCACAAGCGGUGGAGCAUGUGGUUUAAUUCGAUGCAACGCGAAGAACCUUACCUGGUCUUGACAUCCACGGAAGUUUUCAGAGAUGAGAAUGUGCCUUCGGGAACUGUGAGACAGGUGCUGCAUGGGCUGUCGUCAGCUCGUGUUGUGAAAUGUUGGGUUAAGUCCCGCAACGAGCGCACCCCUUUAUCCUUUGUGCCAGCGGUCCGGCCGGUACUCAAAGGAGACUGCAGUGAUAAACUGGAGAGGUGGGGAUGACGUCAGUCAUCAUGACCUUACGACAAGGCUACACACGGUGCUACAGUGGCGCAUACCAAGAGAGCGACCUCGCGAGAGCCAAGCCGACUCAAUAAGGUGCGUCGUAGUCGGAUGAGUUGCACUCGACUCAUGAAAGGUCGA